AAUCAACGCUGGCGGCAUGCCUAACACAUGCAAGUCGAGCGAGAAAGGGUAGCAAUACCUGAGUAAAGCGGCGCACGGGUGAGUAACACGUGGAUAACCUGCCUCGAAGUGGGGAAUAACACCGGGAAACCGGUGCUAAUACCGCAUAUUCCGAUGGAGCCUGCGGGCUUUGGCGGCAAAGGAGCAAUUCGCUUUGAGAGGGGUCCGCGGCUGAUUAGCUAGUUGGUGAGGUAAUGGCUCACCAAGGCAACGAUCAGUAGCCGGUCUGAGAGGACGGUCGGCCACACUGGAACUGAGACACGGUCCAGACUCCUACGGGAGGCAG
rnacentral:rRNA from 1 species